rnacentral:rRNA from 1 species
AGCUCCAAUAGCGUAUAUUAAAGUUGCUGCAGUUAAAAAGCUCGUAGUUGCAUUUCCGAGGCAAGGGAUUAGUCCGACCUUUGGUGGGUAUUUAAUCCUCUUGCCUCGUCCUUGAGUGGUGCUUCUUGGUAUUAAGUUAUCGAGGAGAUAGCCGCUCAUCGUUUACUGUGAGAAAAUUAGAGUGUUCAAAGCAGGCUUAUGCCGUUGAAUAUAUUAGCAUGGAAUAAUAAGAUAGGACCUCGGUACUAUUUGGUUGGUUUGAGAACCAAGGUAAUGAUGAAUAGGGACAGUUGGGGGUAUUCGUAUUCAGUUGUCAGAGGUGAAAUUCUUAGAUUUACGGAAGACGAACUACUGCGAAAGCAUUUACCAAGGAUGUUUGCA